AAUAUUGGACAAUGGGGGCAACCCUGAUCCAGCCAUGCCGCGUGUGUGAAGAAGGUCUUCGGAUUGUAAAGCACUUUAAGUUGGGAGGAAGGGCUUUAGGUUAAUACCCUGAAGUUUGGACGUUACCGACAGAAUAAGCACCGGCUAACUCUGUGCCAGCAGCCGCGGUAAUACAGCGGGUGCAAGCGUUAAUCGGAAUUACUGGGCGUAAAGCGCGCGUAGGUGGUUCAGUAAAAUGGGGGUGAAAACCCCGGGCUUAACCUGGGAACUGCUUUCAUAACUGCUGAGGUAGAGUACGGUAAAGGGUAGUGGAAUUUCCUGUGUAGCGGUGAAAUGCGUAGAUAUAGGAAGGAACACCAGUGGCGAAGGCGACUACCUGGACUGAUACUGACACUGAGGUGCGAAAGCGUGGGGAGCAAAC
rnacentral:rRNA from 1 species